AGAGUUUGAUCAUGGCUCAGGAUGAACGCUAGCGGGAGGCCUAACACAUGCAAGUCGAACGGGAAGGGCAGCAAUGCCCCGAGAGUGGCGCACGGGUGAGUAACGCGUAUGCAACCUGCCUUUAACUGAGGGAUAGCCCAUAGAAAUGUGGAUUAAUACCUCAUAGUUCUUUUGUCCUGCAUGGGAUGGAAGAUAAAGCUCCGGCGGUUAAAGAUGGGCAUGCGUGACAUUAGCUAGUUGGUGAGGUAACGGCUCACCAAGGCGACGAUGUCUAGGGGUUCUGAGAGGAUGAUCCCCCACACUGGUACUGAGACACGGACCAGACUCCUACGGGAGGCAGCAGUGAGGAAUAUUGGUCAAUGGGCGCAAGCCUGAACCAGCCAUCCCGCGUGCAGGAUGACGGCCCUAUGGGUUGUAAACUGCUUUUGUACACCAAGAAAACUCCCGACGUGUCGGGAUCUGACGGUAGUGUAUGAAUAAGCAUCGGCUAACUCCGUGCCAGCAGCCGCGGUAAUACGGAGGAUGCAAGCGUUAUCCGGAUUCAUUGGGUUUAAAGGGUGCGUAGGCGGCCUUUUAAGUCAGUGGUGAAAUCCUGCCGCUUAACGGUAGAAUUGCCAUUGAUACUGAAAGGCUUGAGUUCAGUUGAGGUAAGCGGAAUGUGUAGUGUAGCGGUGAAAUGCUUAGAUAUUACACAGAACACCAAUUGCGAAGGCAGCUUACUAAACUGACACUGACGCUGAUGCACGAAAGCGUGGGGAGCGAACAGGAUUAGAUACCCUGGUAGUCCACGCCGUAAACGAUGUUCACUCGCUGUUUGCGAUACACAGCAAGCGGCCAAGCGAAAGCAUUAAGUGAACCACCUGGGGAGUACGAUCGCAAGGUUGAAACUCAAAUGAAUUGACGG
rnacentral:rRNA from 1 species